rnacentral:rRNA from 1 species
GAAAAGGGGCGCGGAAGUACUGGAAACGGGCUCCCUGAGAGUUUGUGGCGGGGGGGGGAGAAACACGUGGGGGACCCGCGUGUAUGACAGGGAUAACUCCGGGAAACCGGGGAUAAUACCGGAGGCUUGAUUGAACCGCACGGUUCAAAUAUAAAAGGUGGCUUUUAGCUACCACUUACAGAUGGACCCCCGGCGCAAUAACUAGUUGGUGAAGUAACGGCUCACCAAGGCAACCAUGCCUAGCCGAACUGAGAAGGUGAACGGCCACACUGGGACUGAAACACGGCCCAAAAUCCUACGGGAAGCAGCAAUAGGGAAUCUUCCCCAAUGGACGAAAGUCUGACGGAACAACGCCGCGUGAGUGAUGAAGGUUUUCGGAUCGUAAAACUCUGUUGUUAGGGAAGAACAAGUACCGUUCGAAUAGGGCGGUACCUUGACGGUACCUAACCAGAAAGCCACGGCUAACUACGUGCCAGCAGCCGCGGUAAUACGUAGGUGGCAAGCGUUGUCCGGAAUUAUUGGGCGUAAAGCGCGCGCAGGCGGUUUCUUAAGUCUGAUGUGAAAGCCCCCGGCUCAACCGGGGAGGGUCAUUGGAAACUGGGGAACUUGAGUGCAGAAGAGGAGAGUGGAAUUCCACGUGUAGCGGUGAAAUGCGUAGAGAUGUGGAGGAACACCAGUGGCGAAGGCGACUCUCUGGUCUGUAACUGACGCUGAGGCGCGAAAGCGUGGGGAGCAAACAGGAUUAGAUACCCUGGUAGUCCACGCCGUAAACGAUGAGUGCUAAGUGUUAGAGGGUUUCCGCCCUUUAGUGCUGCAGUAACGCAUUAGCACUCCGCCUGGGGAGUACGGUCGCAAGACUGAAACUCAAAGGAAUUGACGGGGGCCGCACAACGGUGGAACAUGUGGUUAAUUCGAACCACGCGAAAACCUUACAGGUCUUGACAUCUCUGACACCCUAGAAAAAGGCUUCCCUUCGGGGAAAAUGAAAGGGGGGAAGGUUGCCUCACUCCGGCCGAAAAUUUGGGUAAGUCCCGAACGAGCC